rnacentral:rRNA from 1 species
CGAGUCUUAACCGGGCGUUAAGUUGCAGGGUAUAGACCCGAAACCCGGUGAUCUAGCCAUGGGCAGGUUGAAGGUUGGGUAACACUAACUGGAGGACCGAACCGACUAAUGUUGAAAAAUUAGCGGAUGACCUGUGGCUGGGGGUGAAAGGCCAAUCAAACCGGGAGAUAGCUGGUUCUCCCCGAAAGCUAUUUAGGUAGCGCCUCGUGAAUUCAUCUCCGGGGGUAGAGCACUGUUUCGGCUAGGGGGCCAUCCCGGCUUACCAACCCGAUGCAAACUGCGAAUGCCGGAGAAUGUUAUCACGGGAGACACACGGCGGGUGCUAACGUCCGUCGUGAAGAGGGAAACAACCCAGACCGCCAGCUAAGGUCCCAAAGUCAUGGUUAAGUGGGAAACGAUGUGGGAAGGCCCAGACAGCCAGGAUGUUGGCUUAGAAGCAGCCAUCAUUUAAAGAAAGCGUAAUAGCUCACUGGUCGAGUCGGCCUGCGCGGAAGAUGUAACGGGGCUAAACCAUGCACCGAAGCUGCGGCAGCGAACGUAUCACCCAAGACAACUUUACGGAGUUGACGAUUGACGGAGCGAAGCGACGUCAAAGCGUUCAUUAAAGUCGAGUUGGCUUAGGGAUACGUUCGUUGGGUAGGGGAGCGUUCUGUAAGCCUGUGAAGGUGUGUCGUGAGGC